AGAGUUUGAUCCUGGCUCAGAACGAACGCUGGCGGCGUGCUUAACACAUGCAAGUCGAACGAUGAGGCCUCUUCGGAGGUACAUCAGUGGCGAACGGGUGAGUAACGCGUAAGUAAUCUGCCCCAGGGACUGGGAUAACUCUGCGAAAGUGGAGCUAAUACCGGACGAAGCAACCGAUUCAUAAGGAUAGGUUGUGAAAGGAUGGCCUCUCGAAGAAGCUAUCGCCAAGGGAUGAGCUUGCGUCCCAUUAGCUAGUUGGUAAGGUAACGGCUUACCAAGGCGACGAUGGGUAGCCGGCCUGAGAGGGUGAGCGGCCACACUGGGACUGAGAUACGGCCCAGACUCCUACGGGAGGCAGCAGUGGGGAAUAUUGGUCAAUGGGCGAAAGCCUGAACCAGCAACGCCGCGUGAGGGAUGAAAUCCUUUGGGAUGUAAACCUCUUUUCUAAGGGAAGAAUGAAUAGAGAAAUAAGACGUUUGUAUUUUGACGGUACCUUAGGAAUAAGCCCCGGCCAACUCCGUGCCAGCAGCCGCGGUAAUACGGAGGGGGCAAGCGUUGUUCGGAAUUACUGGGCGUAAAGGGCGCGUAGGCGGCUUUGUAAGUCAGGCGUGUAAUCCCACGGCUCAACUGUGGAACUGCGCCUGAAACUGCAAGGCUUGAGUUCAGGAGAGGGGAGUGGAAUUCCCAGUGUAGCGGUGAAAUGCGUAGAUAUUGGGAGGAACACCGGUGGCGAAGGCGGCUCCCUGGACUGAUACUGACGCUGAGGCGCGAAAGCGUGGGGAGCAAACAGGAUUAGAUACCCUGGUAGUCCACGCUGUAAACGAUGGGUACUAGGUGUAGCGGGUAUCGACCCCCGCUGUGCCGUAGCUAACGCAUUAAGUACCCCGCCUGGGGAGUACGGUCGCAAGACUGAAACUCAAAGGAAUUGACGGGGGCCCGCACAAGCGGUGGAGCAUGUGGUUUAAUUCGAUGCAACGCGAAGAACCUUACCGGGAUUUGACAUGUUCUUGAUGUGUGGUAAAAGCCACAUUUCCUUAGGGACAGGAAUACAGGUGCUGCAUGGCUGUCGUCAGCUCGUGUCGUGAGAUGUUGGGUUAAGUCCCGCAACGAGCGCAACCCUUACCCUCAGUUGCCAACAGGUAAAGCUGGGAACUCUGAGGGAACUGCCGGUGACAAACCGGAGGAAGGUGGGGAUGACGUCAAGUCCUCAUGGCCCUUACGUCCCGGGCUACACACGUGCUACAAUGGCUGGUACAAAGGGCAGCGAAACUGCGAAGUGGAGCCAAUCCCAAAAAGCCAGUCUCAGUUCGGAUUGGAGUCUGCAACUCGACUCCAUGAAGUUGGAAUCGCUAGUAAUCGCGCAUCAGCAUGGCGCGGUGAAUACGUUCCCGGGCCUUGUACACACCGCCCGUCACACCACGAAAGCGAAUUGUACUAGAAGCCGGUGGGCUAACCCUUAGGGGAGGCAGCCGUCCAAGGUGUGAUCCGUGAUUGGGGUGAAGUCGUAACAAGGUA
rnacentral:rRNA from 1 species